UACAGAGGUCCCAAGCGUUGUUCGGAUUCACUGGGCGUAAAGGGUGCGUAGGCGGCAGAGCAAGUUUGGUGUGAAAUCUCCGGGCUCAACCCGGAACCUGCACUGAAUACUGCUUUGCUAGAGGAUCGGAAGGGAGACUGGAAUUCUCGGUGUAGCAGUGAAAUGCGUAGAUAUCGAGAGGAACACCAGUGGCGAAGGCGAGUCUCUGGACGAUUCCUGACGCUGAGGCACGAAAGCUAGGGGAGCAAACAGG
rnacentral:misc_RNA from 1 species